AACGAACGCUGGCGGCAGGCUUAACACAUGCAAGUCGAACGCAUCGCAAGAUGAGUGGCAGACGGGUGAGUAACGCGUGGGAAUCUACCCAGAUCUACGGAACAACAGAGGGAAACUUCUACUAAUACCGUAUACGCCCUACGGGGGAAAGAUUUAUCGGAUUUGGAUGAGCCCGCGUAAGAUUAGCUAGUUGGUGGGGUAAUGGCCUACCAAGGCGACGAUCUUUAGCUGGUCUGAGAGGAUGAUCAGCCACACUGGGACUGAGACACGGCCCAGACUCCUACGGGAGGCAGCAGUGGGGAAUAUUGGACAAUGGGCGCAAGCCUGAUCCAGCCAUGCCGCGUGAGUGAUGAAGGCCUUAGGGUUGUAAAGCUCUUUCACCGAUGAAGAUAAUGACGGUAGUCGGAGAAGAAGCCCCGGCUAACUUCGUGCCAGCCGCCGCUGUAAUAC
rnacentral:rRNA from 1 species